rnacentral:piRNA from 1 species
UAUAAAUGUGGCGGCCCUCAGGUCAGCU